rnacentral:rRNA from 1 species
AUUCCAGCUCCAAUAGCGUAUAUUUAAGUUGUUGCGGUUAAAGAGCUCGUAGUUGGAUUUCGGGCGUGGAGGUUCGGUCCGCCGUUUCGGUGUGCACUGUCUUUCUGCGUCUUUCUGUCGGGGACGCGCUUCUGGCCUUAAUUGGCUGGGACGUGGAUUCGACGAGGUUACUUUGAAAAAAUUAGAGUGUUCAAAGCAAGCUAAAGCUCUGAAUACAUUAGCAUGGAAUAACGCGAGAGGACUCGGUCCUUAUUUUGUUGGUCUUCAAGGAUGGAGUAAUGAUUAAGAGGGACAGUUGGGGGCAUUCGUAUUUCAUUGCUAGAGGUGAAAUUCUUGGAUUUACGAAAGACGAACUUCUGCGAAAGCAUUUGCCAAGAAUGUUUUCAUCA